AUUACUGUGUUUGAUAUAAGUUAGACUUUAUUCUUGUUUGAGUUUUAGUUCGAUUGUUCGAUUUCUAUUUGUUUUGUGUAUGAUUUAUGAUUUUUGUUUGUGAUAUUCAUGUUUUUAUUUAUUUAUUUUUUAGAGUCACCUUUUUUAUAAAAAAAAAAUUUUGUUUCAAAUUUUAGAAAAACCUUUUUUUUCUUUGUUGAGUAAAACUAAAAAAAUAGAAAUUUUCUCUCUCACAAAGGAAUCCCAUUGAAACCCCUCUCUUUUAAUAUGGUC
rnacentral:lncRNA from 1 species